rnacentral:tRNA from 1 species
GCCUGGGUGGCUCAGUUGGUUGAGUGUCCGACUUCGGCUCAGGUCAUGAUCUCGCGGUUUGUGGGUGCGAGCCCCACGCCGGGCU